rnacentral:rRNA from 1 species
GGAGGUCCGAACCCACGAGCGUUGAAAAGCUCGGGGAUGACUUGUGGGUAGCGGUGAAAUUCCAAUCGAGCCCGGAGAUAGCUGGUUCUCCCCGAAAUAGCUUUAGGGCUAGCCUCAAGGUGAGAGAUACGGGUGUAGCGCACUGAAUGUCCUAGGGGGUAUUGCACCUACCGAAGACUAUCAAACUCCGAAUGCCGUCAUCUUAUACUUGGGAGUCAGACUGUGGGUGAUAAGAUUCAUAGUCGAAAGGGCAACAGCCCAGAUCGUCAGCUAAGGUCCCUAAAUGUAAGUUAAGUGGUAAAGGAUGUGGGAUUGCACAGACAACCAGGAUGUUGGCUUAGAAGCAGCCACUCAUUCAAAGAGUGCGUAAUAGCUCACUGGUCGAGUGAUCCUGCGCCGAAGAUUUCCGGGGCUAAAACUUACUACCGAAGCUACGGCAUCAGUAAUGAUGGGUAGGGGAGCUUCCCAUACGGGUUGAAGCAUGACCGUAAGGACAUGUGGACAGUAUGGGAGUGAGAAUGUUGGCAUGAGUAGCGAGAUGUGGGUGAGAAUCCCACAGGCCGUAAACCCAAGGUUUCCAGGGGAAGGUUCGUCCGCCCUGGGUUAGUCGGGACCUAAGCUGAGGCCGAAAGGCGUAGGUGAUGGACAACAGGUUGAUAUUCCUGUACUACCGAUAACCGUUUGAGAGAAGGGAUGACACAGUAGGAUAAGCUAAGCACACUGUUGGUUAUGUGUGCCCAAGCAUUGAGGCAGUCAAAGUAGGCAAAUCCGCUUUGAUAAUGCUGGGGUGUGAUGGGGAGCGAAAUUUAGUAGCGAAGUAGCUGAUUUCACACUGUCAAGAAAAGUCUCUAUCGAGGUUAAAGGUACCCGUACCGCAAACCGACACAGGUGGGUGAGGAGAGUAUCCUAAGGCCAGCGAGAGAACUGUUGUUAAGGAACUCGGCAAAAUGACCCCGUAACUUAGGGAUAAGGGGUGCCACCAUCAGGUGGCCGCAGAGAAUAGGCCCAAGCGACUGUUUACCAAAAACAUAGGUUUCUGCUAAGUCGCAAGACGAUGUAUAGGAGCUGACGCCUGCCCGGUGCUGGAAGGUUAAGGGGAUCUGUUAGAG